AUUACUUUUUUUUCAGUGUAAUAUUUAAAAAAUUUUUCCCUUAAUUUCUUAAAAUUUUUUAGGUUGGCCAUGUUAUCGCUGCCGAGUACGGGACGAGAUGAAUCCGGGGACGGCGAUGGUCUGAUGGGUCAGCGGUUGCACCGUUGCAGAUGCUUUGCAGUUUCAAUGAAGAUCUAAUGUUGAAUAUUAAGGGAUUGCAGAGCAACGUGGAGAAUAAGAACAUUUGAAACGGCGACUUGCGAUUCGUUGAGUACUGUGGCGUCAAAUUGACGAUGGCUGGUGGCUCGUGAUUACGGGACAAAUCAGUGGAUUAUCCGGGAGCUCAGUUUCGCGAGUACGGGAGUCGGGAAUAGGAUAGCGGGACAGUUUCUAUUUCGGCUGAGGGAGUAACAGUUCGGAGCGGAGAAACAGUUGGAGACUGACGAGUCUCCAUUUAAGUCACAGAAGGAUAGAAAAUCGUGUUACAAUUACGUUGCUUGAGCUUAUAAGAUCGUGACUCCAAAGUACGAGCGACAACAGAGAUGAUCAUCGCGCGUACACGAAGGCCGCCCGAACUCAUACGCGCCGCACGAAUCAGAUAAAUCUCGAGUGAAACACGUGCGCGCGUGGUCCCCUCGAAAGGGUUGUUUGCACGCUGAUAACUGACGCAUACGAUAUGAGAUUAUUAUAAAGAUAGGAAACCGUACAUAUAACGUACAGUUGUAACCUACGCCACGUCGACACAGAUAGAAGAGCGACGAGAGAUCGCCGUACUUUUUUUCCGCACCGCUUCAAUUACGGUUGGCGUGUGUUUACGCAGCACUUAUAGCACGUCGUUUUCUGCGCGUCUUCAUUGUUAGGAAGUCCGAUGUUUUAUUGACUUUAGCGGGAUAUCGCUGUUACAUAUAUGCAUUAUCAUGUUCGCUAUAAUUUAAUUAAUGGCAUUAAACGUAAGAUAUAUGUUAUAUUACACUGAUUCAAAAGUAAUCACAUGCCGCGAAUAUUUUUUACAAUAUGCCUAAUUUCUUUUUGGAAAUUUAUUUAUUAGCAUUAG